UACGUAGGGUGCAAGCGUUAAUCGGAAUUACUGGGCGUAAAGCGUGCGCAGGCGGUUCUAUAAGACAGAUGUGAAAUCCCCGGGCUCAACCUGGGAACUGCAUUUGUGACUGUAGAGCUGGAGUACGGUAGAGGGGGAUGGAAUUCCGCGUGUAGCAGUGAAAUGCGUAGAUAUGCGGAGGAACACCGAUGGCGAAGGCAAUCCCUGGACCUGUACUGACGCUCAUGCACAAAAGCGUGGGGAGCAAACAGG
rnacentral:rRNA from 1 species